UUUUUACACCAGGGGUGGAGUGAUGUUUUGGGCCGACUCUCUCAGCGCGGAAUACGUGUACCGCAGACUGGACGGGUGGUCCAAAGAUUAUGGAGAGUUCUUCAAACCCUGUGAAUAUCUAGCUGCCAGAGCUAGUCACGGCGCAUCCUUGGCUGCCACCACAGCUGAUGGCACCAAGUCGCGACUCUAGAUGGUUUACCUGGGUGUUUUGCCAUGUCCAGUCGGGAUGGAGGAGCUGGAAUGUUCCGGAUACGAUCGUGUAUUAGAUGUAAUAAAGUGCACGGCAAAAAUGCUAGGUUGGUUUUGAGUGUUGGUGGGUGCGGCUGUUUUUCUUCUGCAACUGCUGCUGUGUGAUGUGUUACCAUGGUCUUACCCACGGCCCAGUAGUUUUGUGCAUUGUGGAUUCCCCUGGCGUACUGUUGCGACAUGUCCGCGAAACCUCUGUAUGUUUUUACAGGGCCAGGGAUAGUACAUGCGAUCCUUGUCAAUUGUGGAAAUAAAAUGCCAACCUUGUGUCUUUUCUUC